GAAAUCUAUCCUACUCUAUUUGGGCUUAACAGAUGAAAAAAGGAAGCAGGAUGACUCAGUCUCCGUGCCUUUUUGGAUGCAGGCAGAAGAAUGCCUCCAUAAAGUGAGCUUUCUGAGGUUUUUUGAAUUUCUUCUGCAACAGCAGAGCAGCAAUGAGCUACCAAAUAUAGUUAAGAUUAUUCUGAAGGAGAUGGAACUCUAUUAGUGCUUUCCCUCUUCCAGAUGGAAAAACUGAAAAGGUGAAGAAUCUUCCUCAGGCCACAGGGUAAGGAAACACCUGAAAGAGUAGAAUUACCCAGAACCUACUCUGUGUAGAUCAUGAGGACCUGCAAGAGUCUUUUAGCCAAUGCUGCUUUCACAGAAGCAAGGCUUACUG